rfam:Xylona heveae TC161 unplaced genomic scaffold L228scaffold_7, whole genome shotgun sequence.
UCCUCUAUGGCGCAAUUGGCUAGCGCGUCCGGCUGUUAACCGGGAGGUUGGUGGUUCGAGCCCACCUGGAGGAG